rnacentral:hammerhead_ribozyme from 1 species
AUCCAGCUGACGAGUUCGAAAUAGGACAAAACACGCGUCGUGGAU